rnacentral:rRNA from 1 species
AAUGAACGUUGGCGGCGUGGAUUAGGCAUGCAAGUCGUACGAGAAUCGUAGCAAUACGAGGAAAGUGGCGGAAGGGAGAGGAUUACGUGGGAAUCUACCCUCAGAACUGGGAUAGCGGCGGGAAACUGUCGGUAAUACCAGACAAUGUCUGUGGACCAAAGGUGUGAUUCAGUCUGGGGAUGAGCCCACGUCCUAUUAGCUAGUUGGCAGGGGAAUGGCAUACCAAGGCAAUGAUGGGUAGCGGGUGUGAGAGCAUGACCCGCCUCACUGGGACUGAGAACUGCCCAGACACCUACGGGUGGCUGCAGUCGAGAAUCUUCGGCAAUGAGCGCAAGCUUGACCGAGCGACGCCGCGUGCGGGAUGAAGGCCUUCGGGUUGUAAACCGCUGUCGUAGGGGAGCAAGAGAUGAGGGUACUCCCUCUGAUUUGAGCGAUCCUAGGAGGAAGGACGGGCUAAGUUCGUGCCAGCCGCCGCAGUAAAAC